rnacentral:rRNA from 1 species
UACAGAGGUCUCAAGCGUUGUUCGGAUUCAUUGGGCGUAAAGGGUGCGUAGGCGGCGCGGUAAGUCGGGUGUGAAAUCUCGGAGCUUAACUCCGAAACUGCAUUCGAUACUGCCGUGCUUGAGGACUGGAGAGGAGACUGGAAUUUACGGUGUAGCGGUGAAAUGCGUAGAUAUCGUAAGGAAGACCGGUGGCGAAGGCUAGUCUCUGGACAGUCACUGACACUGAGGCACGAAGGCCAGGGGAGCAAACGGG